rnacentral:lncRNA from 1 species
CUAAAAUAGAUCGCACACGGUCGCAUUCAUGCUUUUAUAAAAUCGCAACACACAUUGCCCGCCACAACAAAACCAAAAAAAAAUGCAAACUCAACACUAAAAUACGGGAGUUGUAUCUGAAAGUUGCAAUGGAAGAGAGCCUACCGGUUUGAAUUGGAGCUGUGAUUAAGCAAGCGCAGAGAGAAAGUAGUGAGCAACGUUUAAUGGGCGGGAGGGGGAAUUGGAAAAGAGGGUUUUAGUUUUUGGGUUUUGACAGUAAAGGCGCUGUUUUGAUCGUGAAUUUUUCAUGGAGAGACGCUUUCACCCCUGAAUGGAAUUCGUAUCUCCUUCGUCUGGUCGAGAAGGGAGAAAGCCCGGAGAACCAGGCUUGCUUAGCUUACUAAGGCGAAGGAAUUUGUCGUUGAUUGCACGAGUUAGCCAGCAAACCCCCCUGACGUCUCACCACCCCGGAGCAUAUACAUCCACACCAUCGCUGAAGACUCAAACCUUGCCCCGAAACCAACCACUCGGCUGCUGCAACUUUUCUUUUUCUUUUCCUUUUCCUUUUUAUUUUUCUAAAUAUUUUGAUCGUAAAAUAUUGGGCCGACUAAGAUUAUGGGCUCUGGGCCUUUUAGAAUUAAGGGAGAAGUGCAACUUGUAAACGAAUUGAAUCGAGUUGAAUAUCAUAAUUUUGUAUUCGUAUUUAAAUACUAAUCGAAUCGUAAUUUUGUAUUCGUAUU